UUUCCAUGCAAGAUUAAAGAAGCACACGCACAUGUGGACGCUGCACAGUAUGGUGGACCCGAUAAAGACAAGUAUCGAAAUGCCACAGGCUACACUGUGAAAGAAGCACCAUUCAGAGAGAGGGUAAUCAUUCUCUGGUGGUGGUGGGUGGGCGCCCAGAGAGUGGAGUCCGGCUGCGUUCAGUGACGGUCACCUCUCUCCUGCUGCUUGCGGUUCUCAAUGAUGCCGGGCGUGUCGACGAAGGUGACCGUCUCCAGCAGCUUGUGGGGCAUCUCAAUGCCCACCAGCCGCUCCAGGAAGCCUUGGCCGAACUU